UAUCAAUGUGGCAGAUUAGUGCAAUAGCUUUAAAGACUAUGCAAGGCUAAGUCCCUUUGAUA
rnacentral:tRNA from 1 species